rnacentral:lncRNA from 1 species
AAAAAAAAAAAAAAAAAAAAAAAAAUGAUGAUAAAAAAAAAGAUAUGAUGAUCCAUUUAAUAAUUCCUUGGAAAAGAAAAUGAUCGAGUAGAAGUGUUAAAGCUGUUUUUGACUUAUUUUUUUAGAGAUUUCAAUUAUUAUUCAGGAUUUUUAGAAGAGUUGAAGGAGACGUUUGAAAUGUACUAAAUCAGUUGUGUUUCGUUAUGGCGAGUCUUAGGAACGAAGGCCUUAUUGUGUCGGACUACGUUGUUAGGUCAAAAGUCUGAGUUUGCCAAAUUGGAUUGCCAUAUUCGAUGAAAUGACAGCAAACUGAAAAAUAAAAGAAUAUAUAUAUAUAUAUAUAUAUAUAUAUAUUCUUGUUCUAACUAUUUCUCUGAGACUAUUUAAGAGAAUUAGAUUGGCAAAUUAUUCUCAUAUUAAAAAAAAAAAAAAUCAGGACAUCAACAUUGGAUCAAUGGUACGAACGAUCCGAAGCAGAUAUUAUAUUGCAAAAAUGGUUUAUAUAAUAGUAUAAAUAAAUUACAAUAAUCUGAAAAACAAGUGCUUUAAAACUAUUAAUUAAUGCCAAAAUAUGAAUAUUAAACCAGUUUAAGAAUUUCACGAACACCAUAAUUUUCGAUUAUUAAUAUAACUGUGAUGAGAUGAGACAUUAGUUGAUGGGUUGGUCCGCCAAGUGGAAAGUCUAAUCCUCUGAUGUCAGGUUCAACAACCCAGUUUGAACAUGUUAGCAACCAAAUGCAUUGUUGUGUUCUUAUCUUUUUUUUUUUUUUUUUUCUGGACACCAAUUUUAUCUUUAUGACCUAAUUUUCCUGCCACAAUUAUAUCACUAUUCUUUUUAAAUACAAGACUAAUUUAUUUUGCUAAAAGAAAAUUUCAUGACUAUAAAUGCAAUAUUUUUUGAGUUUUUCAAUAAAAAAAAAAAAAGGCACUUUUGAAGCUAUUAAUCGGUCCAGGUCCAAUUUGGGAACCCUAAUUUCAAUCCCCAUAUAUAUAUAUAUAUAUAUAUUUUCUGACGUAAUACAUAUGUAUUAAUAUACCCUAAUAUUUAACUUAUCAUGGUCUGGGACAAAAAUCAUUUUUCUAUCUUUGAACUUUUAUGAUUUGACUGAAUACUGACAUUGUAGGUUAAAUAUUAAAGAAAAGAAUGAUAAUAACUAAUUAUAUAUUCUUUUUUUUUUUUUCUGGUUAAGUGUCAUAAUUGGUGAUCAAAUAAUGCUUUAGCGAUAAGUUUGUGAGAGUGAAAUGUUUAUUACUCGGACAAAAGUCAUUGAUUACAACUCCAAAGAGGCGGUCCAACCUUCAACAAAAUUAGUUGUUGCUAGGUGGUGCGGGGCACCUAAUCUCCAAUCCAUUUUCUUCAACUACGUUGACAUCAAACAAAUAUUUUGAUUUUUUUUUUUUAUUUCAGAAACAAUUUAUAUUAUUAAUCUCUAAUUUUUGUUAAUUCAUGGAGUUAAAAUUAUUAAUCUCAUUAUCCAAAUUUAAGGCAUGCGAUUGAUACUAACACAAUUUUUUAAAACCUACACUCAUUAUUAGUUUUUCUUCUAUUUUAGAUAUACGGAUCCAUUUAAUACAUCAAAUCAAUUAAAGCUUUUAUUGUAAUGAGAAUAUUUCUGAUCACUCAUGUAAAAAAAAGAUAAAACAAUAAUAAAUUUUUAAAUAUUUAUAUACCGGUUUAAUGUAUUGGACCACAUUCAUAAACCGUGUGUAGAUAAAUCUUAUCCAAGAGAAAAAAAAAAAUCAAAUUCAACGCCUCAAUAGUUAAUGAUGAAGAAAAUGUUAAAUAUCCACAAAUUUAUAUAACCUAAUGGCAUAUAAAUUAUUUUUUAAAAGGGGUUUUGAGUUUGAAUUAUGUUUUCAAAUUAAAUUAAUUGAAAGAUAUUAACCUAAAUGUUUCUUGUUAAAGAAAAAUGAUUAAGAGUCCGUUUGAAACAAAUGAAUUUCAUAAAAUUUUGUGGAAUUCAUUUGAAAAUCCAAAAUGUUAUGUUUGAAAUGAAAAAAUAUAUUUGAAUUCUGCGAAUUGAAUUCUAUGAAAUUGGGUAUAGCUAACUCAAAUUCUACUAAAAUUGAUGGAAUUUGUAAAUGAAUUCCACAAAAUUGACCAUUAAAAUGUUUGUUAACAAAAUUCAACAAUUGUUUUCGAAUGCAAUUAUAAACAAUAGUAACAUUCUUAAUAUUUUUUGUUUUCAAAUUAAUUACUUAAAUCAACAACAUCAAUUAAAAAUAAUUAUUAUGGUGAAUAUUAUUGCCUAUAUAAUUAAUUAAUUAGUGUGGAAUAUUAGUAUACUUAUUUAUAUGGAACUUAUUAUUUAUAUUAUAAAAAAGACGAGUUAUUAUAUUGUACGCAAUAAAUAAAAUUAGUGUUUAUUAUUUAUUUUUAUUAAAGUAUUAUAUCAACGGUGUUACUUAUAGGAAAUAAAAAUAAAUGACUUUUCAUUUAAGUAUUUAUUACAAACAUAAUUUUGUGAAAUAAAAUUGAAUUCUUUAUUUUAAAUUGUAGCAUACCAAACAUGACAUAUUCAUUUACAAAUGAAUUUUACAACCAUUAUUCAUUUGUUCCAAACCACUGUAAGAUUCAAAAUUUUAAAGAUUUUAUUGAGAUGUUUAAUACUUUUAAAAUUUAUUAUCCAUGAAGAGAAUUUACAACACACUAAUUUUUAUAAAGUGAUAUUUUAUGAAAUUUGAUAGUCAAUCAUAUAUAUAUAUAUAUAUAUAUAUAUACAGGCUAUCACUUUCAUUGGAGACCAUUUAUUUGGAUUCCUGAUCACCCAUGAGACAUGCCAACCAAGCACCUACAUGUGCACGUGAUUCUCCAUAUCCCUCUUUCUCUUUGGCAUUUUCAUGGAAUCCAAAUUUUUAUUCUUUAUGUUCUGGAUAUAAUCUAUUUGAGCUGUGAAUUUAACAUUCACAAAUUAAAUUACUUUAAUCUAAUUUACUUUCUCUUUAUUUUUUCUUUUUAAAUUGAAGUCAACAGCAGCAUUAUGUAUUUUAUUACAUUUAUCAGAGGUGUAACUCUUUUUUGCAUGGUAAAGCAUAACGGUUCCCAAAUUCAAAUUUAUUUUCUCUUUUUUUGUGAUAAUAAUAAAAUCAUUUAGUUGUAUAUUUUCAAAAAAUCAGGAAUAAUAUUGAAAAAAAAAUCAAAAUUUCAAGAAUAUAUACGUUCCACUUAAUAAUUUAUAGUAAUUUAUUUUAUUUAUCAUACACAUACACCUUUCACCUCUGUGUUUUUUUCCCCUCCAAGGCUGUCCUCUUUUCUUGCCAUUUUCUGAAGUUGUAAAGUAGUUGACUUAUGCUACUUUUGUGAAAGCAGGCACAUAAAUGAGAAAAAAAAAAAAAAAAAGAACAAGAAAAAAGAAAAGAAGAUAGCAUAAUUUGCACAUUGGUCUUACGAUUAAGAAUUGAUCUUUCAUGCUUUUGAAAGCACAGCCUAAUGAUAAUAUAACUCUCAAAUUAAGAAUCCUUUCAAACACGUUCAGAAAAAAAAUAAAUUGAUGUUUACUAUUUUCUUUUAAAGGAUUAUAAAUUUUCACUAGUCAACAUAAAACUUUUUUUUUUUUUUUUGGUUGAAUUUGGUUAGUUGAGUGUGUGCACCUAAUAUUUUUAUCGUGUAUCAUAUCUAUUACUUAAUUUAUACGGUGGUCGGUUCAUUUAUUAUUCAUUAUGAAUCAAUAAGGUUUGGAAAACUAGAGUUAGAAUCAUUGUUUUAGGAUCUGAAUUCAUUAAUUUUAGUUUCAGCAUAAUUUCGAUAUUAAUUUUAGAAAAAUCUAAAAUUAUUGAUUCUAUCAAUUGGUUUCGGUUCUUAACCAUAGAGAGAUUGAAACAAGACAAGGUCUGUCCUCUUCAACUAAUUUUGAUAUGGUUUCGAAUAAGAACGUUUGAACUGAUUUUGAUUUUGAUUUGGUUUGAUCUAAACAGGUCUGUUUAAUUUUAAAAGUCAGGUUAGAAUUAGUUAAUAAAUUUAUUAUUUAAUUUAUUUGGAAUUUCUGAAUUUAAAAGUGGAUAAAUAAAUUGAAAUUGUUUAUCACUAUUUUCAAUUUUGCUCAAAUAUAAAUUUUAAAAGGAGAAUAUAGCUAUGAAUAAAAGUUUAAAUCUUUUACUUCAUAUACUCAAGACGAUCAAUAUAUUAUAAAGUUACAAAUCCAAUCACAACACCCAAAAAACCUAACCUAUAAUAUCUCAUACUGCAAAAAUUUACACAUAGAGGCCUAAUAUCUAUAAUUGUCAUUAUGCUUUCAACCAUAUAGGGCAAAAAAAAAAAAAAAAAAAGGAAAAAACAUAAGUGCAAGUGCAAUUAAUUGUAAUAAUAAUAUAGACAAAGCAAACUUAACAGUAGCAGGAAAUGAUGAUAAAUUAAUUCUAUUUCAACCAUUACACUCUUUGUCUGUUUCCUUCCUUUCUAAUUCUCCUUUCGGACCUUUCCCUUUUCACUCCACUCCUUUUCUUUUCUUAAUUUUCUUCACUGCAAUUAAGUAUUGUCAAAAAGAAAAAAUACAAAUUCAACACGAAAAAGUAAUCAAAUGAAAUUACAGGAAAAAAGAAAAUUACAAAAGUUUUGGCGUUUUAAAGCUUUAAUUUUUGAUUUAUUUAACUCUAAUGCAUGUGUUAUGUCAGUUAAAGGUGAAGUCCCGUUAUGAUUCCUGUAAUUACAGACCAGAGGAAAAUGAAUUAAAAUUAAAAAUUUAGUUUAAUUAUGUGUGUGAGAGAGAGAAGGAAAGAGAAAGGGCAUAGCUUUAGCUUUUCUCUCUUUCGUGUAACGUGUAGUAUAAUAACCAGUCCUUUUCCAGCAAACAUCCAGCUUGCCGUUUUCUUUCUAGUUUUUACUCUUUCAUGGUUCCUCUCCCAUGUGACUAGCGCUCUCCUUCCCUUCACUACCCCAUCUCUCUCUCUCCUUUUUAUUAAUUAUUUAUUUUCUCUACAAAUUCCUUUGAUAAUCCAAGCACACGCAUUUAGAAAUCAACCAAAUCUAAGUCCUCCCUCUAUUUUGCCUCCCUUUCUUUCUCACAUAUUCAGUUCCGGGAGCAAAAAUCGUAAAUAGCAGAUCAAAUUAAAGCAUGAAGAAGCUGAUUUUGGAGCUUUUGGAUUAUGGGUUUUCCUGUUCAUGUUUUUUUGACAAGUGAGGUACUGUAAAUUUCUAUGUUUUGUUAGAUUCUUUUGUUUUUUUCUUGGCAAGGAGUGCUAAGGGUUUGUAGAGAAAGAUAUUGGGUUUUCUUGUUUUGGUAUAAUGAGGGACUUCCCUUCUUGUUUUGGUGAAAGUGGAGUUCAAGUAGCUGAUUCAUCAGCUUCAAACACCACAAAAGCUGCACAGAAUUUGGUUACUUGUGUUUAUCAAUGUAAAUUACGCGGUCGUUUUUGCUUAAUUACUGUUACUUGGACUAAGAAUCUCAUGGGUCAAGGUCUUAGUGUUGCAAUUGAUGAUUCAGCUAAUCAUUGUCUUUGUAAAGUUGAUAUAAAACCAUGGUUGUUCUCUAAAAGAAAAGGGUGCAAGAAUUUAGAGGUUGAUUCUUGUAAAAUUGAUAUAUAUUGGGAUUUAUCUAAUGCUAAAUUUGGCUCUGGACCUGAACCUUUGGAAGGAUUUUAUUUAGCUAUUGCAUUUAACCAAGAUAUGGUGUUACUUCUUGGAGAUAUGAAGAAAGAAGCAUACAAGAAAAUUGAUAAUGCCUCGAUACAUUCCGCUGCCAUUUUUAUUGCUAAAAGGGAGCAUAUUUUUGGGAAGAAGUUUUAUGGUGCAAAAGCUCAGUUUUGUGAUAAGGGGCAGAUGCAUGAUGUCACAAUCGAAUGUGAUACGGUUGAUCUUAAAGAUCCAUGUCUUGUGAUCCGCAUUGAUAGUAAGAUAGUAAUGCAGGUCAAGAGACUAAAGUGGAAGUUCCGGGGCAAUCAUACCAUAUUGGUGGAUGGGCUCCCUGUUGAAGUCUUCUGGGAUGUCCAUAACUGGUUAUUUGGUAAUGCAAUGGGCAAUGCAGUUUUCAUGUUCCAAACUUGCCUAUCUGCUGAGAAAUUAUGGUCUAGCCAAUCUGUUUUUGACCCCUCUGUAUUGACUUGGUCAUACUCUCAGCGAUUCAGAGACUACCAAUUACAAGGUCUUGGUUUCUCACUUAUAUUGUAUGCUUGGAAGAAUGAAUAAAAGUUUAUGUUCAAUUGUUGAGUUUUUUAGCAGAUACUUCCUGCAAUGUUUUCAAGAAUGAUGUGAUAGAGAUACGGUAAAUGCAAUUAUAAGUUUCUUUUCAUUCCUCUUUUCAAUUUAACUUGUUAUAUUGUUGCACUAACCCAUUUCUCUUAAUUGCUUUUAGUGAUAUAGUUAAGAAUUCAUGUUUUGAUUUUCUGAGGUUGCAAAAUGCAAGUUAUGUUCUACUCAUGUGACACCUUUUUGGGGUAUUGCAGUAAGCUUUCCUUUCUGUACUCCCGUGAACACUUUUAUUGUUAGAACGAAAUAGGGGCUUUUAUUUCGAGGAAAUGAGAGUAACUCCUCGUAGCAGAUGUCUUUAUUCUUGGAAUAUGGAGCUCUACUUGUGAGUUGUAACUAUUUUGAUCUUGUUGCAUGUGAGUUCUUGUUUACCAGCAGUAGUACUGUAGUACUAUAGUGGUAGAUGGCUGGUUUGUCAUGCCAGUGUUCCGGGUUUCACAAAAAUAUAAAUCUUUUAUUUUGGACAUUUGGUUUGGAAUGACCUUUCUAAUCUCAAUAAAAGAUUAAAAUAAGAAGUUGGUGGCAGUAAGCUUCUUUAGGGUAAUCCAAUCCAAUUCAAAGGAUCGGUUGGUAGGUAUAACAAGGAUUUCAGAUCAAACUAAGCGGGAGUUACAGCUCCAUUCACAAGCAUUGGUUAUUAAAUGUAAAAGAUGAACUCUUUUUGCUGCUCUAGUUUCAGAGAGAGGAUGGCAGAUGCGUAGCUGAUACUGGUGGUGUACUAAAAGUGCGACUGGUAUUUGUGUUUUAAUACAUUGACAAUUUGGUGAUUUGAAAGAAAAAAGAGUUCCAUUAUUUAGUACAUUUACGCAUUUUUUUGCCAUAAAUGGAUCUUAUUCUUUAAAGCUGGUUUUGAAAUGAGCUUGAAAUUGAUAAUUUCUUCCCAUAUGUUAGCAACUUGUACAAAGUAAAAGAUACAAAUGAACAGCUUAAAGCACAACCAUUAGCAAACCUAUGCUUCAGCUCUUGUUCUAAAUAUUCAAUUUUUGUAUCUCUGAAGUCAAGUGAUCUGGACCAAAAUCUUGAUAGAUUUUACACACAACCCAGUUCUCCAGCUGAAAAACAGAGAAAUGUACUGAUCAGAGACACAAAGUGAAGAGAAAUGUUUGAGGAUUUGAAACAGGUAUAUUUAUUUGCUAAUUAUUUCAACUAAGGGCUAAACAUUUUCAAUCGGUUUUUUUUUUUUUUUUUUUUUUUUUUUUUUUUUUUUUUUUUUUUUUUUUUUUUUUUUUUUUUUUUUUUUAAAAAUUCAAACUGCAGUUUAAACAGGAAUACCAAAAACGUAAUCUUGGUCAUUAGAAUCUUACCCUUCCGUUCUCAUGGUCGCAUGUGACUGAGCAACAAUGCUCCUUCAAACUGUACUCGAUCAUAUACCAAUUUGUUUUUCGGCCAUUGUUUAUACCCCCUUCAUAGAAAUGAAACUUUUGCUUGACUCCUACUAUUCCAUUAUUGCCAUAGAUUUCAAGAUCUGUAUAUCCAUCUUUCUUCCAGUAUCCAUUUCUUGCUCGGUGAACUGGGAACCAUGGCAAUACAAAUACAAAUCGUCUUGGUGGCGUCAAAAUGUAGCAUUCCUUAUUCCCAUUUGCAUUUGUUGCCAUAUCAGCUACUGCACCGCCCACAGGCACAUAAAUAUUCACUCUAAAACGUCAAUUUGAAUCUAAUAAUUUUGAGCAAGAAAGUUGAAAGACAUAGAAGAUCCGAAGACAAACAUGAGAAGAUAUCUUGUGGGUUGUAAUGUUGAAUAUCUGCUACAAUUAAUCCACGUAUGAGAACAGGCUGACUUAUAAAUUUGUUGAUUAGUUGAUUUAUGAUAUACUGGUCAGAAUCCAUAUUAGCUUUAUUAACCUGAAAAAACCAAAAAAAGAAUUCACUGAUAGACUAAACUGCAAGAGUUGUACAAGUUAAUUGCAAGCGGAAACGAAAACUUCAAAAGAUUAAGAUCGUUAAACAAAAAAUAAUAGUAGAUUUUUGAUAAUGGCAGCAAAGAGUUACCUGCAAGCUUCUUAAAUGUUGACGGCAUCAACUGCAUAUACCAUCUGAAACACCUAUAAAAGCCAAAAAAAAAAAAACUUACCUUGUGCGAAUUUGAUGGCUCAUAUUAUGGAAAAACUUUAUCAAUAGGACUCUUGGAUUCGAGACAGGAAUAGGACUCUUAGAUUCGAGAAUCCUGCUAUUUUACGCUUCAUGUUUGGAUGAUCUUCUUAUAGCGAGACUGAGUUGGAUUGUUAACUUCCAUGUAUAUAUAUAUAUAGGUCAAGGAAAUAUUUUCUAAAGGAUUCUUUUUUUUUUUCCUUUUAUUUUAUGAUUCAUAUUAAAAUUAAUUAAAAGUAUUAAAAUUUUGAACUUAUAGAACUAUAACAUGUUUCCAUUCAAAAAAAAAAAAAAAGUCUAAAAUUAUAAACAAUAUAUUUAAAUUUAUAAUGAAAUCAGAGAAUUAUAACAAUAUAUUAAUUAUAAGUUUCGAUAAUAUUAUAUUUAAGAAUCCAAAUAGGUGGUGAUUUGGUUGGUCUUCUCACUUAUGCGAGGAGUGAGUGUUCUCGAGUUGGAUCUCCUGACCACAGUUUUUGUCACCAGUUUGGUGAGGCAAGGUGAUGAGUAUCCCUGUUGUAUAGCUCGUAAUGUUAUUUCAGCACGUAAAAGCCUCUGAUGAAUUAAAAAAAUAAGUUGAUUUAAGAAAAUGUUGGAUGUCGUUUAACGACAAUGCAUUUGUUAGGCUCACAAUAAAUAACGACCUUUCGUUUUCAAUCAGUUAAAUACUGCUCCAAAGUCCAAACUGUAAAACCCCCGAAUUUUUUUUUCUUUUAACUUGCAAUUUGCAACAGAGAGCAAUGGGAACUCUAUCUCUCUUGCUUCCGCUCUCCCUCUCUUUUCCAUUGAGACCGAAUCGCUCCUCUUCAAGAAGAAAUGAUUUACCAAAAUCCCCUUCAUGGCCCCGCAUAUCCUCCAACACUCUCGAUUCUGCCAGGAUACGAGGCAAAACUAUAGUUUUUGGAGGUAAUUCUUCAUCAACUGACCCAAACGAGUCUCAAUUCUUCGAUGAAAAUGGUGUAGUUGAUGAUAUGGAUGGCUAUCUCAACUCUCUCUCUCUCGAAUAUGACUCUGUUUGGGACACCAAGCCGUCAUGGUAAGCCUCGAUACUCUCUUCGUGAAUACAUACAAAUAACUUAAUUUAGACAUUUGCUUCUAUAUAGAACUGUGAUAUUUGAAUUAGAAUUUGCUUUUCUUCCUUUGAUUUUAUACAGCAUAAUAUGUUUUCAGUUGAAUUUCUUUAAGGAUAGGUGAAAUUUCUUGGUUGUUAUAAUUCGUAGAGCUAUCUCUGGUUAGGGAAACUUACAGGCAUGUUUGGAACUGGCACCAAAAUUUGAUUUCCAUUAGGUUUUUCUCUUUUAAGUUGUUUCAAGUUCUUCAAUUGGAAAUUAGGAAUGAGGCUACUUUUGAAGAUGAAGUCAUUGGAUCACUUACUGGUAAACAUUGUUCAUGAGAUCAUAAAAUUCCAUAGCCUUAGGUAUUGUUAAGGAUCCCAUUUUCCAUAAUUCUCACAUUCAAGAUGAUGGAUUCAUACCUUUAGGUCUUUCGCGAAUUCUUGAUGGCUGAAAAUGAACUGCUUCUCUAGAGGAAUGUAAUUCCUAGAGGAAUCUGGUGGGAGUAGAUGGAGUAUGAUUAAAUGCAAGACAUGCAAGACAUUUUUAAUCUUUUCCUGUACGAGGGAUUUCCAGUUUGGAUCAAACUGGCAUGAAAUAGUUGAUGUGGAACAUGCUUUUUAAAAUCAUACACCGAGUCAGUAGUUUUAAAUGUUGAUAUUACCCUUAAACAUUUUGAUAUAUAUAUGUGUGUGUGUGUCUGUGUAAGAAUUGCUUUAAAUUAUAAUCUUUAUGUUUUUAUUUAAAUUCGAUUUGAGCAUACUUGCAUGCAUUUGUGCUUGUUUUAGGGUGCUAUUUGAUUGAUUUCAUUUUUUUUGGCAUUAGGUGUCAACCAUGGACAAUAACACUCACUGGAGUAUUGGCAAUUGCCUUUAGUUGGUUGAUUUUGCACUCAGUUGUAGUUACUAGUAUUGUGCUCUUCUUAACUUGUAGCUGGUGGUACAUUUUUCUGUAUUCUUAUCCCAAGGUAUCACAUCACCUAACAAUUAAUAUUUGCGUAUUAGCUAACAAUUAAUAUUUGCGUAUUAGCUUCUCUUAUUCUUUAUUAUGCUUAUUGAAGUUGGGAGUUACAAAUCAUUUCCAUUUUUUUAAAUCCUUGUGUUACAUAAUUUUUAUUGUUUGUAUUCAACUUAUGAAAGUUUGGAUUUGGUUAAAGGCCACAUAUUGUUGCAAGUCAGAACAGUUGAUUCAAGCAGUUAACUAGGAGUCUCUGUUGCUUACCCUCUUUCUGUUUUGGAAUUUAAAAUUGGAGUAAUAAGGCGAUGCUUGAUGCAAAUAGAAUAUAUUUCUCAAACUAGAGCAAUAACUAUGUCUGUCCGCUAGUCAGUCCUAACUUAUAAGGGCUAGACAUCACCCUGAUAUCACAAAAAAAAAGGCUUUUUUACUUAAUGUUUGAUAUUGGAAGAAACUGUCUGUGCUUAAAGGGCUUCAAAAAUCAGAUGACAUUGUGGCGUUAAGGUGCAGAAUAAACAAUAAUGACAUUUGAAUUUGCUGGGAAUUUAUGGAAUGAGAUGAUUUGAUGUUUAAAUUAUGAUCUUUGAAGUUCAAAAUUUGCUUGACAAAUACGUGUGGAAGUUGUUUAUAGCAUUGGAUACCAGUCCUUAAAUGGUUGUUCCACAUCUCUAGGAUGCCCAUGACUAUGUACUGAGGCAUCCUAGAAAGGUUGUCAUGCAUUGUUGCAUCUUAGACUCGCUUAAAAAGAGAAGAUUCACCACUAUCAAGUUAUUUUAUUUUAAAGUCCAUCAUGCACCUCUUAGUUUUGUAUAUAUGCUUGUUUUAUUAAAAUUUGACACCACUUGCAAAAAAAUAAAGCUCACCUUUUUUGAAUUUUUUGAAAGUAGUAUAAUAUUUUCUGUUUAAAGCAAAAGGAAAGUAGUAUAAUAUUCUGUUUGCUUUCUCACAAGGAAUUUCUAUCUGAAAAGGAGCAAUGUUCAUUUUUGCAUGUUUAGUAAUUGUAUUUGUUGUGAUAUUCUAUUUAGAAUACAAAAUCAGCAGAAAAAGACGCAAGGCAUUGCAAAUUUUUCUUUUUUUCUUUUUUGACAGGCAUAUGCAGAAAUGAUUGCUGAACGAAGAAAAAAAGUGAUAAAUGGUGUUGAAGAUACAUAUGGUUUGAGGAAGAUCUAAUGAUUUAGAGUAAAAAUGGAUUUGUCAAUUCUCUCCGUCUUGAUAUGCAUAAAUAUUUGUAAUUUUAACUUGUAGAGAAAAUGUAAGUAGAAAAUGUUACAAGCUCUAUUUGGCUAGUUCGAUAGGAUCCUUUUCGGAAAUGUGCAGAUCUGUAACUGUUUAACUCUAUGAUAUCAAGUCACAUGUUUUUAAGCAUGUUUAAUAUCUGUAAUUGUUUAUAGGGUAAAUUUAUAUAGCGUAAGCUAAAUUAAGAAGAAAAUGAUUCACCACUUGAUAGAAUAUGCUGGAAGCUUGUUUAUUUAGUUUCCUCACGUAGUCAGCUCCCAUACAUGUCGCCUCAUAUAUGGAUCUGUUCAACACUAAAUAAAUUUUCUUUGGUUUUCUCUUAUUUUCUGAGCAAGCAAGCAAAACUUGGCUUGAUGAACAGAAGAGUGGGCUUGCUGUGUUGUAAUUUUGCUGGAAAGGUUCCGCAUAUGCUGUCUUUAAAUCUGCUUUCAAAUUUAGGAGGAUGGAGCAAUGUUUUUCUUAAAUGUACAAUUUUAUGAAAGCCCUUUUGUUGUCGUUCGUCUUAUCCGUCAAUAAACUUUAGUUUGCUCUUCUAUUCUACCGGUGGACGAUUUUCGGUUUGUAAAAAUUCAGUCAGAUUCAGGUUCGAUUUAGCUUUAAAUCGGCCCGGUAUGGCGGCAUCGCCUAGCUCUGGCUGCGUGGCUCAUGAAUUGAUUCAAACGACAUGUCGUUGAAUUGGUUUGCCCCUUAAUUUAAUUUAUUUUUUAUUCUUAUAGAGAGAGGGAUAAUACCCAAACCCGAAUUAUUAGUCUCACACGCUCCGAUUCGUUGAUUGCCAUCAACAAAAUCGACUUCACCGUCGGAAAUCAGGAUCAAACGUCCCAGACGAAACCCUAGAUGGAUCUCCUCAAACAAGAACUCCUCAAGAAACGCCAAUCCCUGGCUCAAGACACCGGCGGGAAACGAGUGUUCAAGCGAUCUGAAAUCCAACAGAAGGAAAUUCAAAAGCUCCGCGAACAAGAAAAACGCGAACUCGAAGCCAAAGCCCAACGCCAAACAGCAGCCGCUGCCACAAACACAACAUCCACUACAUCCAACUCCGCUUCAUCCACCGCGACAACAACAGCCACCACUUCCACAUCCACCGCCACCACAUCCAAAUCCCUAACCGACGAGCAAAAUAUCGAUAACCUUGUCCUCCCUAAACAAGAGGUCAUCCGCCGCCUUCGAUUCCUAAAACAGCCCAUCACUCUUUUCGGAGAAGAUGAUGCUGCUCGUCUCGACAGGUUGAAGUACGUUUUGAAGGCUGGAAUCUUUGAGGUCGAUAGCGACAUGACUGAAGGGCAAACCAAUGACUUUUUGCGUGAUAUUGCGGAGCUGAGGAAGAGGCAGAAGACUGGAAUUCCGAGCGAGAGGAAGAGAAAGGAUAGGGAGGAAGGAGGGGGAGAAGAUGGAGAGGUAGGGGAAGGAGAAGGAGAGCUGAGUGCCGAUGGUGGGUCCAGUGGGGUCGAUGCUGAUAAGGAUUUGAAGCGAAUGAAGGCCAAUUUUGAAGAGUUGUGUGAUGAGGAUAAAAUUUUGGUGUUCUUCAAAAGGUUGUUGAAUGAAUGGAAACAGGAAUUGGAUGAGAUGUCUGAAGCAGAGAAGCGUACGGCUAAAGGGAAGUCAAUGGUUGCUACGUUUAAGCAGUGCGCAAGGUAUUUGACUCCGUUGUUCAAGUUUUGCAGGAAGAAGGUGAGCCUUUUUGCUUUUGAUUAUUGACUGCUUUGAUUUCAAUACUGUUACUAUAUCAAUCCCAUAACCGUUUGUCAUUUAAAUGCUGAUAUAUUGCUUCUGAGUAUAUAAUUGGUUAAAGUCGAAUCUAUGUUGUAGAGCAGUGAAAAUUAGUACAACCUGCAAACUAAUAAUAGCAAUUUCACUCAGAAACUUGAACUGGGAAGGGGCAAGGCAAUUAACAUUGAGUUUCUAACUAAUCAUUGUGUUAUAACUUAUAAGUAGUUGAUUGGGGAAUCAUACAAGAAGCAGUUGGUUACAUUUUACUGGGAAUAGGACCGUAAAGCACCUUAAAAUUAUUGGAUUUUAGAGGGUUUUUUUUCGCUGUUCCUACAGCAUUAAGCUGCUAAUUCUUCUAUUCUAACAUUGCCUCAGUCUAUCUUUUUUUUUUUUUUGUUUCAAAUUAGUAAGCUACACCUGCACUUCUGUUUAUUAAUCCCUUAUUAAUUUCCCCUGGACCUUAUGCACUAAAAACGAUACUUGUUGUGGGUAAGAUAAUUAACUUUUGAUGCUUAAAUUAAUAGUCUUUAUAUUAAUUACUUUAGAAGAAUAUUAGACAUUUAUUGUUUUGUGAAUUAUACAGAAAUUGCUGUUGGGAUUAUAGUUUCUCUUUGAUAAACAGUAUGUUGUAGAAAGUAGAGAUAAAUACCAUUGCCUUGGUCAAUUUGAGAAGAUUUCCAAGUCCGUUAAUGUGGAGUUUGUUAGCAUAAACUUGAGAAUAGCUCACAACAGAAAUAAGACUGUCUGGACCAGUAGUCCUGCAAACCUUGGAAGAAGAAAUUGUACCCCUGAAACAGUGGAAGAAAUGCCUUAUUUUUUGCUUUCUUGAUAAAAAAUUAUUAAUUGGGAUCAAAUCCAACUACCUAAGGGUACCAAGUGCCAGUUUACACACAAGAGUAGGAUCAUAUACAGGACAUGGAAUCUUCAAAAUUGAAAAUGUUCUUUUUAUUUGUAAACUGCUGUUGGAAUAAAUAUCUAAAGUCCUUGAUGUAUGGAUGACCUGGAUGUAUUAUUUUCAAUUUUAUUUUAAUCUAUAUUGCAGCUACUCAUCUGUCAUCAUGGUUUUUGCAUAUUUGGGUGAAAGGCGUAUAGUUUUGCAUUUGUAACUCUUGGCAUCCAAAUGUAGUUAGAGAUGACUUUGGCUUAUCCUUUUUUCCGGUAUCAGUAUUUGUUCUGCAUAGAUUUGUAUGAAUGUCAUACAUGCAACUCAUUAUAGCUUCUUGCAAUAGGUGCUUCCUGAUGAUAUUCGCCAAGCCCUGCUAGUGGUGGUUGAGUGCUGCAUGAAGAGAGACUACCUAGCUGCCAUGGAUCAUUAUAUUAAGCUUGCAAUUGGUAAUGCACCGUGGCCAAUUGGUGUCACUAUGGUUGGUAUUCAUGAACGCUCAGCCCGUGAGAAGAUUUACACCAACAGCGUUGCCCACAUUAUGAAUGAUGAGACCACCCGCAAAUACUUACAGUCUGUUAAGAGACUGAUGACUUUUUGCCAACGGCGCUAUCCAACUGUUCCGUCUAAAGCAGUAGAAUUCAACAGCUUGGCAAAUGGCAGUGAUUUACAUUCUUUACUGGCAGAAGAGAGGUCUUCUGGCGGUAAUCAGGCUUCAGAUGGAAGGCUUAGAUUAAUGCCUGCUCCAGAAGAGAAUUAGGUAUUAAUUGUAUAAUAAUUUUCCUGUACAAUAUUAUAAUGCCACCAGUUGUUUAAUGCUUUGGAAUGCAUUGAGGUUACACACAUCUGAAACCUUGUCUCAGUUGUUAUUUAAGUUUAGCAAGGCUAAAGCAUUUGCUUGAAGUGAAUAUCAAGAAGUAGAGAAAAACACAGAAAGCAGCAUGAUGGGCAAUUUCUACAUUUUAGCUGGAACCAUUUAUGGAAUUUGAUGCUGGGUUUUCAGGGCAUUUUCUGUAUCCCCUGAUAUAAUUGGAAAUUCUGGGAUUGGCUCAUUUGAUGCCCUCCUUUCAUAAAAAUAUGUUAUAUGUAUAUUUUUAUGUGUCGUGAAUGCUCGCGCUCAAUGAUUGAUGAUGGGGAUACGCUGGAAUGAUUUUCAUGAAGCAUUCUUACUUUGGAGCAUGACUAGAUUAUAUAUUAUGUUUACUGGUUAGAAUUAUGAUUUCUUGUUUAAUGGUUUUCAAGCCUUCUCCCCAUUGUAACCUCAAAAUUCUGUGUUGCUUAGCUUUUCUUCGUCAUGCAGCAGUUUAUUUACCAACCAAAAACGGUAUAGUCCGUACCGGGAUUUUAAUUGUUUAUCUAUGUUGCGGUGUCGGGGGAUAAAAGUAGGACUGUCUUUCUGUUUCUUUUCUUGAAAUUAAAUGGGGUAUGACAAAAAAAAAAGACUAAGCCAUGGUGGGACCAAAGUUAUCGAAAUAGCAAAUCCUAUUGGUUCAAACAAUAUCAACUUAUCUGGAAAUCGAAAUCCAAAUGACAACCACUUAUCCAAAAACCUUCUCCUCCUUUCAGCCAAACUGAUAAAACAGAAAUACCCAUAAUUUUCCCUCUCCAAACAAUUUGCAUAGCCAUGGCAACCCAAGCAGGUCUCUUCACCUCUACCAUCACCGCCCCAAAAUCCAACAAGCUUCCAUGGAAGCCCACCUCUUCCUUCUCCACUCCAAAGCUUGUGGCUCUGUCCAAAAGAUCUCUCAAAAUUGCAGCAGCAGCUGAAGAGAAAACUGAAGCAGCUCCAACGAAAGAGGCUGCUCCAGUUGGCUUCACUCCACCUGAACUAGACCCAAACACACCCUCUCCAAUCUUCAGCGGCAGCACUGGAGGCUUACUGCGGAAGGCACAGGUCGAAGAGUUCUAUGUCAUUACAUGGGAUUCACCAAAAGAGCAGAUCUUUGAGAUGCCAACUGGAGGAGCAGCUAUCAUGAGGCAAGGACCUAAUCUGCUGAAAUUGGCCAGAAAGGAACAGUGUUUGGCUCUUGGUACUAGAUUGAGAUCUAAGUACAAGAUCAAAUACCAGUUUUAUAGGGUUUUUCCUAAUGGAGAGGUCCA